rnacentral:rRNA from 1 species
GAUGAACGCUGGCGGCGUGCCUAAUACAUGCAAGUCGAGCGAACGGACGAGAAGCUUGCUUCUCUGAUGUUAGCGGCGGACGGGUGAGUAACACGUGGAUAACCUACCUAUAAGACUGGGAUAACUUCGGGAAACCGGAGCUAAUACCGGAUAAUAUUUUGAACCGCAUGGUUCAAAAGUGAAAGACGGUCUUGCUGUCACUUAUAGAUGGAUCCGCGCUGCAUUAGCUAGUUGGUAAGGUAACGGCUUACCAAGGCAACGAUGCAUAGCCGACCUGAGAGGGUGUUCGGCCACACUGGAACUGAGACACGGUCCAGACUCCUACGGGAGGCAGCAGUAGGGAAUCUUCCGCAAUGGGCGAAAGCCUGACGGAGCAACGCCGCGUGAGGGAUGAAGGUCUUCGGAUCGUAAAACUCUGUUAUUAGGGAAGAACAUAUGUGUAAGUAACUGUGCACAUCUUGACGGUACCUAAUCAGAAAGCCACGGCUAACUACGUG